AUUCUUCAACCCACCUAUUUCUUAGUGAAUCAGGCGGUGUUUGGAUUCUGAGCGCUGCUGGCCUCACGGCCUAGCUCGCUCGUAAUGCAUUAGCAUCCGCAAUCGAACUUCGGAUUGACUCGGCGUAAUAGACUAUUCGCUGAGGAUUCUGGUCUCUGACUGGAGCCGGGUGAGAUUAAAGGAAGCUACUAAUCCUCAUGUCUAUCUUGAGAU
rnacentral:misc_RNA from 1 species